UACGUAGGGUGCAAGCGUUGUCCGGAAUUAUUGGGCGUAAAGAGCUCGUAGGCGGUUCGUCGCGUCGGCUGUGAAAUCCCGAGGCUCAACCUCGGGUCGUGCAGUCGAUACGGGGCGGACUGGAGUUCGGCAGGGGAGACUGGAAUUCCUGGUGUAGCGGUGAAAUGCGCAGAUAUCAGGAAGAACACCCGUGGCUAAGGCGGCUCUCUAGUACGGUACUGACGCUGAGACGCGAAAGCGUGGGGAGCGAACAGG
rnacentral:rRNA from 1 species